CCUCCAGUUUCAGGAGCAGAAGAUGACAUCAGGGUUCUGCAAUGUGGGCUGUCAUGAGCACAACAUGUUUGCCUCCUCGUAGUGAACGUCUGCCAGUGACUCCCCCAAACCUACAGCACCGCUCGAAACGCUUCCACGGGGACACAGUAGCGAGAUCAAAAGGAGCAGGAAAAAGAAAUCAAUCGCCGCCUUUGUUUCUAAUCUAAUUCCUCUCUGAUCCAUGUGAGCCUCUUCACAAUGUAACAUUUCAUGGACCUCCUACAGUGACGCCAGACGGAGCCGUGGAAAGGUCCACUGCAGUGCCACAGUGGGACCCGCUUGUGUUUGGAGCUGAAAACACACGGCUGCUCUCAAAGCAUGUAAGAGUCAGGAAGCGUCCAGGGCCCAGGAUCAGGCACCAUGUCGUCCUGCGUGAAAGCAGCAGAGGGUGAAUGGCUCGAAGUGCAGAUGAUGUGUUCAAACUGGCCUGGUUUGUCAUUAUGGUCUGAUUAAUGUGUCACUGCUGAGGUCCAGGAUGGAGGUGGAGGACGGCUGACUGCUGAUGCAACGAGAAGUCGCUAAACCAUUGACCAACAGAUGAAGAGAAAGAAGAUAGAGAAGACUCAGACCCUUCAGAUUAGCAUUUCUCUUGAAAAGGUAAUGAAAAACGUUAAACGGUGUUUCACAGACGCACAUGAACAAUGGAAUGAGGGCUGAGGGGGGAGAGGAUGCAGGUGAAAGAGUAAACCAGAAAACAGGUCAGGCUGAUCAUGACGGCGCUGGUAUGCAAUACUAGUAUGAAGAAAUGUCUGGCAACUGCAUGACAAAACAACUCGAGAGAAAUGUUGAAGCUGGCAGG